rnacentral:misc_RNA from 1 species
GAAAAGCAAGGCAUGCGGACACACGCCGUCUCUGUGUCAGAAACAGAUGAUUAUGCUGAGAUUAUAGAUGAAGAAGAUACUUACACCAUGCCCUCAACCAGGGAUUAUGAGAUUCAAAGAGAAAGAAUAGAACUUGGACGAUGUAUUGGAGAAGGCCAAUUUGGAGAUGUACAUCAAGGCAUUUAUAUGAGUCCAGAGAAUCCAGCUUUGGCGGUUG